GGGAUUCCGUUGAAUUUCCUCAAAUUCCAAUCAUUUCAAGUCGUUCUAUUUUAACAUGAAACUAACUUAAAAAAAAGUGCUACCAGCUUCUAAAAACUUCCGCAUUAUUUACUAGGAACUGGCAACAAUGAAUUCUGACAGCAUGCUGUCAGCACGAUAUGAUCUUGUGAUUAAAACUUUUACGAGUAAUGAGUGUUUACUGAUGAGAGUGAAGAGGUGUUGUUUAUAAACAGUAUACUAUUUUUCAUCAUAACAAACAGCUCCAGAAGCACUACUUCUGCUGCUCCGAGAAAUCUAGCUAUCCUGUGCUGCUCCUCCAUCAGGCAAAACUUCAAAAUAUGUUCCUAACACGCGAUGACGAAAAAUAUCUACGCAUCGAAAAGCAAUAAAUUCUGAACUGGAUAUGAUCCGAAGAUUCCUGGUAUUAAAUUUACUGCUUACUGUUUUGCAAAUCGUGCUAGAUUUCAGACGGACCAGUCCUACAAAUGCGCUGAAGACGAGGUGUUGGAAAAAGACAGAAGGAACGGGUGCAUACAGCCAAUCGUCAACAAUGACUAAGAAUCGGGAAACUGUUGUAAAUCAUUUGUGGCACUGGCCACGUCAACAUCGAUACUCUCACUUUCACGCAAUGGCUUAGAGAAUGCUGGACAGACCAACACAGAAGGAGUGCACUAUAACAACCUCGCCUGCGGAAGAGGAGCUGCGGGCGAAUGCCCGUUGAAUAUUCAAAAUUGGGAGAAGACAUCAAGUGCCCUCUGUUUGGAAAACUUCCGAUCCUUUUCUCGCUCACAGCACAAGGGACAGCCGGGCUACCAGAGCCUCAUGAAUGCGAUCCAGAGGGCAUUCGGAAAGUACAACUGCUUAUCGUCUCGGAAGAUACCGAAGAAAAUCAGACCGCUCAUCAGUUCGUUUUGGUCUCCAAGGACCUGUACAACGAAGAACCUUGGUUUUGCAUGAGGAUUGCUUCGCAACGGUUGGCGAAUAUGAUCUCAUCGAUUCGUUUGCCGUCGCAAAGAUGAUUGCUUUUGACGACUGGGACAAAAUAAUACCUGAACCGCCGGAUUUGGUUGAGACAAGGAAUGCCUCAGUCACUCAUCGUCUUGCAUCUUGUGGCAUAGGUAUCUCUUUCCAAACCUUAAUAAAAGGUAACGAUUGUGGUUAAGCUUGCGAUAUUCCACCAGCAAAAUCAGUUUUGGCGUCGAAAAUUUUUAGAUCGGGAGAAAAAGCUACGCAGAAACAAUUGUUCACAUAACGUAUGACCUAGAACUUCAAAAGAACGUAUUUAUAGA